GACGAGCUCCCCGAACGUUAUUCGGUAUUACUGGGCUUAAAGAGUUCGUAGGCGGUCUGACAGGUCAGGUGUGAAGUCCCUCGGCUCAACCGAGGAACUGCGCUUGAAACCGUUAGACUUGAGGGAGAUAGAGGUGAGCGGAACAGAUGGUGGAGCGGUGAAAUGCGUUGAUAUCAUCUGGAACACCGGUGGCGAAAGCGGCUCACUGGAUCUUCUCUGACGCUGAGGAACGAAAGCUAGGGUAGCGAACGGG
rnacentral:rRNA from 1 species